rnacentral:lncRNA from 1 species
CUUUCCUGUGCCAAGCUGGGAAUGAGACUGCACUGGCGGGUCAAGGGGGCUGGGACCUGAGAGUCAACGACAGGAGUUCUGUAGUGAGGAGCGUUGGGAUGACCCGGAGGGCCCACCAACGUACUUGGGAGCAGCUUGGUGGGGGAGCUGGAGGAACCGACACAGAAGGGGAGGAAGAUAAGCUGGCGGGGUAAAUAGACUUGAUGCCUCAUUCCAAGAACCCUGAAAGCCACGGGGGAAGGCGGAGCAGGCAGCCUUUGGUCGGGAAGAAGAGACGGGCAGAUGGCCAGCAGAACAGACAAGACUCUCUUUACCUGACCAAUACUCGGGAGGCUGGUCCCGAGUCCCAGCUACUCGGGAGGCUGAGGCAGGAGGAUUGCUUACGGCAACAGCCGUGGCGGCUGCAGCCUCGAAGGAUGCUGCGCUCCAGUCCAGAGCCAAAGCCCAAAGGGGCAGCUGCGCCGACCUCCACCGAGGCUCCGCCCCACAGGCCACAGGCCCCGCCUUCCUAGCACGCGCCGGCCUGACGAGCUGUUUGGGGGAGGUGAGCAGUAAACUGAUCGGCAGGGCUGAAGACCAGUGGAAACGUGCAGCGGCGCCCGAGGUGGCAGGGGAGGCGGGGCGGGAGGCGGCGGUGCCCAAUCAGCAGCCGAGCCGUUGGGCCAGGCUGGGAAGCAGUGCUGUCUUUUGGCACCGUCUGAUCCGGGCUGAGGGAUUGAAGGCGGUGGUCGCUAAGCUAGGUCUAAGACGGACAGCCAGGGCGACAACCAGUCUCUCGCUACGUGUCCCCAGCUUCCCUGUUUCCGAGCGCCUCUCAAGGCGCACGCUCUGGACUUGUUCAGAUGGGGGAAGGGAACUGGUCUGGAACUCCCCACUAUUCCCGAGGUUCCCACGCCUCCAGAUCCGGAGAGGCCGUUUCGCUCCAGUGGCCUGGCCCCCCUGCCCCCUCAGCCUAGCCGUUCUUGAUCGUAAGUGCUAAAAGGAACAAAGAAGGAGAAUUCAAGAAUCCACACAUAAGCCCAAACCCUGACAGGAGCCUUUUCCUCUCCCAUCUCCUGCCUACGCUUCCUCCUAGUAGCUUUUUAACUGCUGGCGGUUAAGUUACUUUGACUGGUUUGAAUUAAACGCAAAAUAGGUUUAGGCUGAGAAAUGGGCCAGACCCUUGGCGAUCUGAGAAAGAAAGACUGAGUCCGGAUGUCAAGAGGCCUGGGCCUCACGAGGGAGUUUGUCUGCUUAUUUGAACACCUCAGAGUUGAAGAUCUUGUUACUGCUAUUUCUGUGCUGGUGAAUCAGUACAGACCUUGAUGCCAAGGUACUGUUUUGUCCCCAAGUGUCUAAUCAUUACUGAAAUGAACUACCUUCAAACCUUUCCUAAGAGGAUUUGAGGCCUUAAUGUCGUUGAGAUUUGGAAUGUGAUUUGAGUGACACUGAGAUCUUUUCCAAGUAGGUAGGCAAGAAAAGGCAUUGUCUUUAAUCUGCUUUUGGAUAAAUGCGAACUGUAUCACCCAUUUGGUACUUGAAGAUAGAAUUUUGUCCUGAAUAGAUUCUGUUUUCAAAUAAGUAAAUGGGAAAAAAAUUUG